GCCGAGGUGGCGGAACUGGUAGACGCAAGGGACUUAAAAUCCCUCGGACAAUUGUCCAUGCGGGUUCGAUUCCCGCCCUCGGCACCA
rnacentral:tRNA from 1 species